CCCAACUAUCCAUUUGUUUCCAUAUCUCUAAAAAGAACCUAUCUAUUUUCUCCCAGAAGUUUUCACUCUUCCCUGAUUUUCUCCGAUUUGAACGCUCCCCUUCUCGACCACAAUUGUGUGAACAAUCCCUUAAGACGGCCCGUCACCGAACGAUCUCGCACCAUGGACGUUCCACCGCGCACGGAUGUUCACGUUCAUGGAGACGCUCCACCCACAUACAUUCUCCACGACUGUAAUGUCAUGGAAGGCCGAUAUGAAGAAAGAAAUUGAAGUUCUUAAUCAGUGAGCAUUUGGGUUUGCACACAGGUUGUAAAAUGCCUUAUAAAUUUGAUUCACAAGCACGGUGGCUGGAUUGACAAUGAUGGAUCCAUCUUCUUGGCUUGUGAUACAAUCUUGAAUGCUUCUGAAGGAUUACAAAAGAAAUGCAUAUACAAAAGCAGAUUUGCAAUGCAUGAAUGCUAUACAAAGCAUGGAAAAGAGGUUGAGAGUUGCUUGCCUUCUUAUGCAAAUAUCAAUAAUGUUGUGAAGAUUGGCUCUGCUGUUGGUGGUAAUUAUUUUAGCUCAUGAAUUGAAGAUAGAGGAUGCGAAUGCAAGUUUAUUUGAUGCCAAAUUUCAUCCAAAGUUAUUGAAUUUCAAGCUUCUUUAGUCAAGUUUGUAUUUCUUGAACUAGAAUUGUAGUCUUAUGAUUUUUGGAACAACAUAGUUGGAUCAUUUUUGUAAUUUUGGAAUUAUCAUAUUAGGUUGGGUAGAUACAAGUACUGUUUUGUAUAUGACAAUAUCGAACAAAUAUGUAAAGUUUUUGAAAUGUUGAUACAUAUAUGGUAAAAUGUUAAUAUAUGUUAAAGUUUUGGAA